CUCUCUUUUCCAAUCACAGAUCUGCAUCUUUGCGAACUCCGUAGAAACUUCAUCACUUGCCAUAGUGUUUGUUCUUCAAUCAAUUAAUUUUUAGGGUUUUCAUUUGAGUAAAUUAACUGUUAAGGUUCAUCUGUUCCUUUGUUUUUCGUUCUGUAAGCGAAACAAUUCACUCUCUCUCUACAAGUAGCAGCUAUGAAAAUCAAAGGUUGGGACUGGUAGUAUAUGAUUCUCAAGUUCCCAUUGGUGCUACUCUAGAGUACAUGUCUGCCUACUACAUGGUCCCUAAGGUAUUGGGGAUGGACACCGUAGAUCGAGUUUUAUUGGAUGCACCUUGCAGUGGGACUGGAGUUAUAUCUAAAGAUGAAUCACUUGAAGCGUCAAAAAGUUUGGAAGUUGUACAAAAUUGCGUGUUCUUGCAGAAGGUUCAUGCUUCGUGUCUGUUACGCAGGAAGUUGCUUUAAUAUCCAGAAACCGAUCCUUGCAGCCGUUGAUACGGUGGAUGCUAGUUUCAUUUUCUCUUGGUUUUUCGCUGUCUAAGAACAUAUACUUUUACAAAUAGCAUCUGUGAGACCUGGAAUCAGAGGUUGGACUGGUCGUAUAUGAUUCUCAUGUUCCCACUGGUGUUACUCCAGAAUACAUUGAUGGUUACUACAUGCUGUAAAGUGCAAGCUCCUUUUUACAUGUCCUGGUCGUUGCUCCUCAAGAAAAUGGAAGAGUGGUAGAUAUGGCAAAUCGGUCCGUGCAGCCAUUUGUAUGGUGGAUGCUAGUUUCAUUUAUUAUCUGGUUUUUCGCUGUCUAAGAAAAACAAAUCCCAAACGCUACAAGUGUCAGCUAUGAGACCUCGGAUCAGAGGUUGGACUGGUCGUUUAUGAUUCUCUAAGUUCCCUUUGGUGCUACUCCAGAAUACAUGGCUGGUCACUACAUGCUGUGAAGUGCAACCUCCUUUUUACCUGUUAUGGCCCUUGAUCCUGAAGAAAAUGAUAGGCUGAAAAAGUUGGUCAGUAAUGAGCUGCUCGUGACAGGAUAGAGGGACAAUACCUGAAGUUAAGAAUAGGUGACUACAUAGUAGUUGGAUUCUGUACAAGAAACCUUUUUUUAAUCUAGUUACAUUUUAUGAGGAGUUGUUUGUGCAAAUGAGAUAAAGGAAUCUUGACUCAAAUUACUAACUGCAAAUUUGCAACGGAUGGGAGUGGCUAACACUAUUGUCUUUAACUACGUCGGGAAGAAGCAACUGAUUCUUGCAGCCUUUGAUAUGGUGGAUGCUAGUUCCCAAUCUGGCGGAUACUUAGUUUACUCAACUUGUUCUAUAAUGAUUCCAGAGAAUGAAGCGAUUACAGAUUAUGCCCUCAAGAGAAGGAUGUACAACUCGUGCCACGUGGACUACUUUUUGACUUUCUGGGUUUACUCGCUUUAGAGAGCACACAGGGAGGAGUCAAUUUCAUGGAUGGAUUUGACCAAAAUUUCAAUGCCACUCUACAGACCAAGCUCCUUAGGUAUUGGGAUGAACACCGUUGAUCGAGUGGUAUCGGAUGCACCUUGCAGUAGACUGGAGUUAUGUCUAAUGAUGAAUCUGUAAAAGGAUCAAAAAGUUUGGAAGAUAUAUAAAUUUUUUCGUUCGUGCAGAAGCAACCUGUCCUUGCAGCCAUUGGUGGAUGCUAGAUCCAAAUCUGGCGGAUACAUAGUUUACCCAACUUGCUCUAUAAUGGUUCCAGAGAAUGAAACGAUUGUAGAUUAUGCCUUCAAGAAGAGGGAUGUACAACUCGUGCCAUGUGGGGCUAGAUUUUGGACUCCCUGGGUAAGCUUCAGUAUUUCACUGUUUGCAUGAAUUCAUUGAUGAAUGUGAUAUUCCCUACUUCCUUGGUUACUUCCAGGUUUACUUGCUGUAGAGAGUGCCGGUUUCACCCAUCAUUGGAUAAGGCUAGGUGUUUUUAUCCUUGUGUCCAUAACAUGGAUGGUUUUUUUUGUGUCCCAGCUAUUGUUCAAUCCUUGUGCUGGAUAUUUUGGAUCUUUGUUUGUUCCAUCAUAUAUUGACCCUUUUCAGUUGGUGACUCGGGGAAAAUGAAUGCUCUAUGUUUGUUCCAUCAUAUUUUGGAUCUUUGCUUGGAUGCUA